GACAUUCCUCUUUUAACGACGUUAUGGAGUUCUGCUGUGCCAGGCGCAUCUUAUUGAUCAGCUCCCCUAAAUCCUUGUUCAGCAGUUUCUUAGUGCCAUCGAUCUGAGACGAAGAGGAAAGAAGAUGGUAAAAUGACAGACUGAUGAAGUGAGGCCUACCUCUGUUGUGACAGAGCUGUGCAGGGAGGGCAGGAUAUCAUCAACACUUUGGAUCAGGCUACGAAGAGCGAUGCCCACCACCUGAAGGUGGACGAGGGAGGGAGGCAAAGACAGGGGGAUGGAAGAGGGAUGGAUAUCUCUACAUUUUUAAGGUGGUAUUUGUUUAAGAUUUGAACAGCCCCAGAAAAAAAACACUUCCCAGCUUCUCAGAGAACA